UACGUAGGGGGGCAAGCGUUGUCCGGAUUUAUUGGGCGUAAAGAGCGUGUAGGCGGCCAGACAGGUCCGUUGUGAAAACUCGAGGCUCAACCUCGAGACGCCGAUGGAAACCGUUUGGCUAGAGUCCGGAAGAGGAGAGUGGAAUUCCCGGUGUAGCGGUGAAAUGCGCAGAUAUCGGGGAAGAACACCCGUGGCGAAGGCGGUUCUCUGGGACGGUACUGGACGCUGAGACGCGAAAGCGUGGGGAGCGAACAGG
rnacentral:rRNA from 1 species